rnacentral:rRNA from 1 species
CCUACGUGUGGCAGCAGUGAGGAAUAUUGGUCAAUGGGCGGGAGCCUGAACCAGCCAAGCCGCGUGAGGGAAGACGGUACAGCGUAUCGUAAACCUCUUUUGUCAGGGAACAAAGGCGGGGACUAGUCCCCGUAUGAGGGUACCUGAAGAAACAGCAUCGGCUAACUCCGUGCCAUCAGCCGCGGUAAUACGGGGGAUGCGAGCGUUAUCCGGAUUUAUUGUGUUUAAAGGGUGCGCAGGCGGCCUGUUAAGUGAGCGGUAAAAGCCCGGGGCUCAACCCCGGCGAGCGGUUGAAACUGGCGGGCUGGAGUGGGAGAGAGGUACGCGGAAUGCGAGGUGUAGCGGUGAAAUGCGUAGAUAUCGCGCAGAACCCCGAUUGCGAAGGCAGCGUACCGGCUCCAAACUGACGCUGAGGCACGAAAGCGUGGGUAUCGAACAGGAUUAGAUACCCGAGUAGUC